ensembl:lncRNA
UCCCAAAUUGACUCAACUUUAUUCACAAGUACAACAGUUUAUAUAGAGGGUAAAAUUCAUGAGACAGCAGAUUUAUCAGUUUAAACCAGUACAGACCAAGAUAAGGCAGCGUCUUCCUGCCCUUGGGUGAAGAAGCAUCCUUUGUGUAGUUUAUUAGUUCAGCUACAAUUGUGAUUAUCUCAGCGACAUAUUUUCAAGGCACAAAACGAAGAGUUCUUACAUUAGUGAAAUCUGAAACAAACCAUUUGGCCUUCAACAGGCGUCUAAAAGAUUAAGAAACUAAUGUAGCUGAGGGAGUGAUCUCUGUGGUAUUUCAACCUUGUACCAGCCUGUGAUUCUCACACAUCAAUUCUUGGGUCAAAGAGAAAAACACUGAAACAAAGGGGCCUUAUUGAAUGACAGAGUUUUCCUGCAUGAUGUCACUAUAAAACAAUAUCCAGUAAAUGCUACCAUGGUACUAAAAUACCUAACAGUUCCACUCUUUUUUUAUUAUUAUUUUUAAAAAAAAUAAUAACUCAAAUAGAAAGGAAAAAUCACAAAUGUAAUAAUAUAAUAUAAAAAGCAAAUCAUAAAAUGUAAUAGUUCACAACCUAAUGUUCAAUAUACACAUUAGGAACAUCAUUGGUAACAUCUGGCACAUCCUCAGGAUCAAUUUGUGCUAAUUGCAAAUACAUUGAAGUAGCUGUACUAGUAGCUAUAUGGGUUAUCAUUGAAAAUGUGGCUUGCAGAAAUGUGAACAGGGUUGCACUUUACAAUACGAAAUAGUAAAUAAAAAUCCUAAGGUUAAUGCAGUAGAUAUGAUUAAUAACCUAAAUAUAUAAAAAAGACAGUUCUUUAGUCGUCUCCUGGCCUGGUCCCAGGUUCGAGAGACACCGUAUAAGCGUUGUGUGAUGACAAUGGGCAUUUCAUUUUCUCCAUUAUCAGGAUGAAACGAGUCUAUCUUUAUCAGGUUAGACAUUGUGUGGUACUCUAGGCUUUCUGUUCCUGCUGGAUGUUCGAGUACCUUGUUGUUGUUCAGGCGGGGGAUCAGAGGGCUUUCUGAGUCUUGGCUCUUUCAGGCGUUGUGUGUUAAUCAGUGAUUGUGUGUGUGUAGGUGUAUUGAAUCCGGGCGCUGGCUCGCCUGAGUCGUCAUCUACUUGAUCCGACGCCUUAGGUGGUUUGGUGGGGCUGGUCUUAACCCUGCUGGCAUGAAUCCACUGAGGUUGUCCGUCUGUUAGGAUGCUGGUUCUCGUCACUGCAAGUACAGUCUGGGGGCUGGAACACGCGGCCUCCCCGAGUGCCCUUGGUUUUAGCGACUGUACCAACACCGCAUCUCCUGGUUUCCACGGAUGGGUUGGAUCUAUGGAAGGGAGAGGCUGAGAGAGACAAACUUUCUGAUAGUUAUUAUUCAGUGUUUCUACCAGGUUAUGAACAUAGUCAGACAAUGCAGUGUCUAUGUCCCCUUCCAAUAGCGGUGCCCCUCUGGAGGCUGACCAUGGUGUUGGAAACGGUCUUCCCAUGAUUAUUUCAAAUGGAGAUAAUUUGGUUGCUGCGGAUGGAGUCAUUCUAAUCUCGCAGAGGAUUUGAGGAAGUAGUUUGAUCCAGGUCAUUCCUGUUUCUA